rnacentral:rRNA from 1 species
UACGUAGGGGGCAAGCGUUAUCCGGAUUUACUGGGUGUAAAGGGAGCGUAGACGGCUGUGCAAGUCUGAAGUGAAAGCCCAGGGCUCAACCCUGGGACUGCUUUGGAAACUGUGGAGCUAGGGUGCUGGAGAGGUAAGUGGAAUUCCUAGUGUAGCGGUGAAAUGCGUAGAUAUUAGGAGGAACACCAGUGGCGAAGGCGGCUUACUGGACAGUAACUGACGUUGAGGCUCGAAAGCGUGGGGAGCAAACA